rnacentral:rRNA from 1 species
AGAGUUUGAUCCUGGCUCAGGAUGAAUGCUGGCGGCGUGCCUAACACAUGCAAGUCGAACGAGAUUUUAUAUUUAAAGCUUCGGUGGAGAAUAUUUAAUUUAGUGGCAAACGGGUGAGUAAUACAUAAGUAAUCUACCUUUAAGUCUGGGAUAGCCUUAUGAAAAUGAGAUUAAUACCGGAUAUAUACUUUUUUCGCAUGAAAUAAGUAGAAAGUUUUUCGCUUAAAGAUGAGCUUAUGCCUGAUUAACUAGUUGGUAAGGUAAAGGCUUACCAAGGUUAUGAUCAGUAGCUGGUCUGAGAGGAUGGUCAGCCACACUGGAACUGAGAUACGGUCCAGACUCCUACGGGAGGCAGCAGUGAGGAAUAUUGCGCAAUGGGGGCAACCCUGACGCAGCGACGCCGCGUGAGUGACGAAGUCUUUCGGGAUGUAAAGCUCUGUCAAGAGAGAUAAUUAUGACAGUAUCUCUAAGGGAAGCCCUGGCUAAUUACGUGCCAGCAGCCGCGGUAAUACGUAAGGGGCUAGCAUUAUCCGGAUUUAUUGGGCAUAAAGAGUACGUAGGUGGCGAUCUAAGUUAGAUGUUAAAUCCUUAAGCUUAACUUAAGUCCGCAUUUAAUACUGGAUCGCUAGAGGUUAGAAGAGGAAAGCGGAACUCACGGUGUAGCGGUGGAAUGCGUAGAUAUCGUGAGGAACACCAGUUGCGAAGGCGGCUUUCUGGUCUAAUUCUGACAUUGUGGUACGAAAGCGUGGGGAGCGAACGGGAUUAGAUACCCCGGUAGUCCACGCCGUAAACGUUGUUCACUAGGUGUAGGAAGUAUCGACCCUUUCUGUGCCAAAGAUAAUUCGUUAAGUGAACCGCCUGGGAAGUACGACCGCAAGGUUAAAACUCAAAGGAAUUGACGGGGGCCCGCACAAGCAGUGGAGCAUGUGGUUUAAUUCGACGAUACACGAAGAACCUUACCAGGGUUUGACAUCUGCAGAAUUUUCUAGAAAUAGAAAAGUGCCCGCAAGGGAAUUGCAAGACAGGUGGUGCAUGGCUGUCGUCAGCUCGUGUCGUGAGAUGUUGGGUUAAGUCCCGCAACGAGCGCAACCCUUAUUCUGUGUUGCCAGCACUAACGGUGGGAACUCACAGAAGACUGCCUGUGUAAAGCAGGAGGAAGGUGAGGAUGACGUCAAGUCAUCAUGCCCCUUACACCCUGGGCUACACACAUGCUACAAUGGCUGGUACAAAAGGUUGCGAUACUGCAAAGAGGAGCUAAUCCUUCAAAACCAGUCUAAGCACGGAUUGUAGUCUGCAACUCGACUACAUGAAGUUGGAAUUGCUAGUAAACGCAUAUCAGCUAUGUUGCGUUGAAUACGUUCUCGGGCCUUGUACACACCGCCCGUCACACCAUGAGAGUUGGUAGCACCCGAAGCCAAUGAUUUAACCCUUUUGGGAGAUAGUUGUCUAAGGUGAGAUCAGCGAUUGGGGUGAAGUCGUAACAAGGUA